UACGUAGGGUGCGAGCGUUAAUCGGAAUUACUGGGCGUAAAGCGUGCGCAGGCGGUUCGUUGUGUCGGCGGUGAAAGCCCCGGGCUUAACCUGGGAAUGGCCGUUGAAACUGGCGAACUGGAGUGUGGCAGAGGGGGGUGGAAUCCGCGUGUAGCAGUGAAAUGCGUAGAGAUGCGGAGGAACACCGAUGGCGAAGGCAGCCCC
rnacentral:rRNA from 1 species